GCAUUCAGGUAAUCGCUGCAUCAUGUUGAUGUUGAGGAAAGUCCAUGCUCGCACGGGCUGAGAUGCCCGUAGUGUUCGUGCUUGGCGAAGCCAUAAGCCAAGGCAAUUUCGGUUGAACGGAAUUGACGGCAGAGAAAAUGUCUAAGUACAUGGGUUUCCUUGUGUAUAAGACUGAGUACUCUUGAAAGUGCCACAGUGACGAAGUCUAUCUAGAAAUGGAUAGAGUGGAACGCGGUAAACCCCACGAGCGAGAAACCCAAAUUAGGUAGGGGAACUUUCUCAAAGGAAUAAAACGGAGAGAAAGACGGAAUUUAGAUUCCGUAGAUAGAUGAUUACCACCUGAGUACGAGGUUUCAUCAACCUAUUAGUACAACGGUACAAAACAUGGCUUAUCGAA
rnacentral:RNase_P_RNA from 1 species